rnacentral:rRNA from 1 species
UCUUUGUUAAGGCACUUUGAAAGAGGGUUAACAGCACGUGAAAUUGUUAAAAGGGAAGCGCUUGUGACCAGACUUGCGUCCGGUGAAUCACCCAGCUCUCGCGGCUGGGGCACUUCGCCGGCUCAGGCCAGCAUCAGCUCGCUGUCGGGGACAAAAGCUUCAGGAACGUAGCUCUCUUCGGGGAGUGUUAUAGCCUGUUGCAUAAUACCCUUCGGCGGGCUGAGGUACGCGCUCCGCAAGGAUGCUGGCAUAAUGGUCAUCAGCGACCCGUCUUGAAACACGGACCAAGA